UCGUGGUCCGAGUUGUAAUUUGUAGAGGAUGCUUUUGGUGCGGUGCCUUCCGAGUUCCCUGGAACGGGACGCCAGAGAGGGUGAGAGCCCCGUACGGUUGGACGCCUAACCUAUAUAUAGCUCCUUCGACGAGUCGAGUAGUUUGGGAAUGCUGCUCUAAAUGGGAGGUAUAUUUCUUCUAAAGCUAAAUACCGGCCAGAGACCGAUAGCGCACAAGUAGAGUGAUCGAAAGAUGAAAAGCACUUUGAAAAGAGGGUUAAAUAGCACGUGAAAUUGUUGAAAGGGAAGCGUUUGCGACCAGACCUUUUCCAGUGAGGAUCAUCCGGUAUUCGUACCGGUGCACUUGUCCUGGAUUAGGCCAGCAUCGGUUUUCUUAGGGGGAUAAAGGCUUGGGGAACGUAGCUCUUCAGGGAGUGUUAUAGCCCCUUGCGUAAUACCCCUCGGGGGACCGAGGACCGCGCUCUGCAAGGAUGCUGGCGUAAUGGUCGUCAACGACCCGUCUUGAAACACGGACCAAGGAGUCGAACAUUUGUGCGAGUGUUUGGGUGUGAAACCCUCACGCGUAAUGAAAGUGAACGGAGGUGAGAGCCCUCAAGGGCGCAUCAUCGACCGAUCCUGAUGUCUUCGGAUGGAUUUGAGUAAGAGCAUAACUGUUCGGACCCGAAAGA
rnacentral:rRNA from 1 species